GACGUAGGAGGCGAGCGUUGUCCGGAUUCAUUGGGCGUAAAGAGCACGCAGGCGGUUUGGCAAGUCGGAUGUGAAAACCCGAAGCUCAACUUCGGGCCUGCAUCCGAAACUGCCCGACUAGAGGUAGGUAGGGGAGAUCGGAAUUCCCGGUGUUGUGGUGAAAUGCGUAGAUAUCGGGAGGAACACCAGUGGCGAAGGCGACUUCCUGGCCUGUUCUUGACGCUGAGGCGCGAAAGCUAGGGGAGCAAACGGG
rnacentral:rRNA from 1 species